AGUGAACGCUGGCGGUGGGCCUAACACAUGCAAGUCGAACGGCAGCACAGUAAGAGCUUGCUCUUACGGGUGGCGAGUGGCGGACGGGUGAGGAAUUCAUCGGAAUCUACUUUUUCGUGGGGGAUAACGUAGGGAAACUUACGCUAAUACCGCAUACGACCUACGGGUGAAAGCAGGGGAUCUUCGGACCUUGCGCGAUUGAAUGAGCCGAUGUCGGAUUAGCUAGUUGGCGGGGUAAAGGCCCACCAAGGCGACGAUCCGUAGCUGGUCUGAGAGGAUGAUCAGCCACACUGGAACUGAGACACGGUCCAGACUCCUACGGGAGGCAGCAGUGGGGAAUAUUGGACAAUGGGCGCAAGCCUGAUCCAGCCAUACCGCGUGGGUGAAGAAGGCCUUCGGGUUGUAAAGCCCUUUUGUUGGGAAAGAAAAGCAGCAGGUUAAUACCCCGCUGUUCUGACGGUACCCAAAGAAUAAGCACCGGCUAACUUCGUG
rnacentral:rRNA from 1 species